rnacentral:rRNA from 1 species
CCUACGGGAGGCAGCAGUGGGGAAUAUUGGGCAAUGGGCGCAAGCCUGACCCAGCAACGCCGCGUGAAGGAAGAAGGCUUUCGGGUUGUAAACUUCUUUUCUGAGGGACGAAGAAAGUGACGGUACCUCAGGAAUAAGCCACGGCUAACUACGUGCCAGCAGCCGCGGGAAUACGGCGGUGGCAAGCGUUAUCCGGAUUCAAUGGGUGUAAAGGGCGUGUAGGCGGGAAAGCAAGUCAGAUGUGAAAACUCAGGGCUCAACCCUGAGCCUGCAUUUGAAACUGUUUGUCUUGAGUGCUGGAGAGGCAAUCGGAAUUCGGGGUGUAGCGGUGAAAUGCGGAGAUAUACGGAGGAACACCAGUGGCGAAGGCGGAUUGCUGGACAGUAACUGACGCUGAGGCGCGAAAGCGUGGGGAGCAAACAGGAUUAGAUACCCUUGUAGUC